UGUCACGAAGAAGGGAACUGCUGUCAUCAUUAGCUUGGAAUGGAAUUUGUACUUUGACAAAAGAUGCAGACAUUUUAAGACCCGGAAUGCUCACAAAAAGGACAAGAGCUCAGAGCUGUAUGGAAAUUUACACAAAGGGUCAGUUAACAGAUUUUGCAAAUAUGGAGGAUAAUAUAUCAAAGGCAGCAUAGGCGUCCAAACUCCUGUUCAGGGUGCUUUUAAUCAGAAGCUUAAGAGACAAAAGACGACCCAUUGA